AACGAACGCUGGCGGCAUGCCUAACACAUGCAAGUCGAACGAUCCCUUCGGGGAUAGUGGCGCACGGGUGCGUAACGCGUGGGAACCUGCCCUUAGGUUCGGAAUAACUCAGAGAAAUUUGAGCUAAUACCGGAUAAUGUCUUCGGACCAAAGAUUUAUCGCCUUUGGAUGGGCUCGCGUUGGAUUAGCUAGUUGGUGGGGUAAAGGCCUACCAAGGCGACGAUCCAUAGCUGGUCUGAGAGGAUGAUCAGCCACACUGGGACUGAGACACGGCCCAGACUCCUACGGGAGGCAGCAGUGGGGAAUAUUGGACAAUGGGCGAAAGCCUGAUCCAGCAAUGCCGCGUGAGUGAUGAAGGCCUUAGGGUUGUAAAGCUCUUUUACCCGGGAUGAUAAUGACAGUACCGGGAGAAUAAGCCCCGGCUAACUCCGUG
rnacentral:rRNA from 1 species